CGUACACACCGCCCGUCACACCAUGGGAGCCGACAACGCCCGAAGUCAGUGACCUAACCGAGAGGGAGGAGCUGCCGAAGGCGGGGUUGGUAACUGGGGUGAAGUCGUAACAAGGUAAC
rnacentral:rRNA from 1 species